UCUAAUAAAUACAGAAAAAUAUUACCGUUGUUGAACACUCACCUGUUACCUAUAUAUAUAUUUGGGUACACUCACUCACUUUUUCUUAACUCGUUCUAAUUCCGCUUAAUUUCUCUCUGAUUCUUGCGCCAUUGACGUUUUGUUUUCUGAUUUCAAUCCAAUUUUUGCGCCACCCAAUCGCUUUCACUCUUUUGCUCUUCCGCCAUAGAGUCACCGCCACCCACCGACUCAACUGUGGUCUCCGUUUUCAUCACCGCCAUCAACAGAGUCGCGCGCUACCCACUCUAUUUUGUUUCUUGCGACCCCAAAGUCAAAAUAAAUUGAUAAACUUUAAAUCAUACAUAUGGAGCCACCACAACAUUAUAGAGCAAUAGAGGAAAUUGAAGAAAAUAUGACGGCCUUUGACAUGAUUCACGGUGGUAAUACGUACAUGUUAAGUAUGUUGGCCCGAACACAGUUCUAUCAACACAGGCAGACUUAUGGUGGUCACUUUGUUUUUGAUGAAAAUAAUACCAAAGGGAUCUCUGUGGUUCAUACAAGAAGAAGAAGAAGAAGAAAUGUUGACACUCCUCAAAUACAAAGACGCUCUGAAUACAACUUUGAAAGAAUUAUAAUUGAAGAUAAUUCUGAAGCUAUAACGUGUUGCAUCUGUCUUGUAGAGUUUUCAGUUGGAUCGGAAGGUGUUCGACUACCUAAUCCUUGUUUGCAUAUAUAUCAUCAAGAUUGUAUCAUAAAGUGGUUAGAUAGAUCUAAGACAUGUCCCAUGUGUCGUAGGUCAAUUUAUUGAAAUUACAUUGUACUUUCUAUCGUCAAUUUGGUUGACUUUAAUCAACAUAGAUGAUGUACUUUUUU